rnacentral:misc_RNA from 1 species
UUCUGGCCUUCUGAUGCACCU